UACAGAGGUCUCAAGCGUUGUUCGGAUUCAUUGGGCGUAAAGGGCGCGUAGGCGGCCCGUUAAGUCGAACGUGAAAUCCCCAGGCUCAACCUGGGAACUGCGUCCGAUACUGGCGGGCUUGAAUCCGGGAGAGGGAUGCGGAAUUCCAGGUGUAGCGGUGAAAUGCGUAGAUAUCUGGAGGAACACCGGUGGCGAAGGCGGCAUCCUGGACCGGCAUUGACGCUGAGGCGCGAAAGCCAGGGGAGCAAACGGG
rnacentral:rRNA from 1 species